rnacentral:rRNA from 1 species
ACGAACGCUGGCGGCAUGCCUAACACAUGCCAGUCGAACGCGACCUUCGGGUCUAGUGGCGCACGGGUGCGUAACGCGUGGGAACCUGCCCUUAGGUUCGGAAUAACUCCCCGAAAGGGGUGCUAAUACCGGAUAAUGUCUUCGGACCAAAGAUUUAUCGCCUUUGGAUGGGCCCGCGUUGGAUUAGCUAGUUGGUAGGGUAAAAGCCUACCAAGGCGUCGAUCCAUAGCUGGUCUGAGAGGAUGAUCAGCCACACUGGGACUGAGACACGGCCCAGACUCCUACGGGAGGCAGCAGUGGGGAAUAUUGGACAAUGGGCGAAAGCCUGAUCCAGCAAUGCCGCGUGAGUGAUGAAGGCCUUAGGGUUGUAAAGCUCUUUUACCCGGGAUGAUAAUGACAGUACCGGGAGAAUAAGCUCCGGCUAACUCCGUG